rnacentral:rRNA from 1 species
UACAGAGGGGGCAAGCGUUAUUCGGAAUUAUUGGGCGUAAAGGGCGCGUAGGCGGCUUGGCAAGUGGAUGGUGAAAUCCCGCGGCUUAACCGAGGAACUGCCGUCCAAACUGCUUUGCUUGAGGCCGGGAGAGGCGAGUGGAAUUCCCAGUGUAGCGGUGAAAUGCGUAGAUAUUGGGAGGAACACCAGUGGCGAAGGCGGCUCGCUGGACCGGUUCUGACGCUGAUGCGCGAAAGCGUGGGGAGCAAACGGG